UACGAAGGGGGCUAGGCGUUGUUCGGAAUUACUGGGCGUAAAGCGUGCGCAGGCGGUUUUGUAAGUCUGUCGUGAAAGCCCCGGGCUCAACCUGGGAAUUGCGAUGGAGACUGCAAGGCUUGAAUCUGGCAGAGGGGGGUAGAAUUCCGACGUGGUAGCAGGUGAAAUGCGUAGAGAUGUGGAGGAACACCGAUGGCGAAGGCAGCCCCCUGGGUCAAGAUUGA
rnacentral:rRNA from 1 species